GAUGAACGCUGGCGGCGUGCCUAAUACAUGCAAGUCGAGCGAACGGACGAGAAGCUUGCUUCUCUGAUGUUAGCGGCGGACGGGUGAGUAACACGUGGAUAACCUACCUAUAAGACUGGGAUAACUUCGGGAAACCGGAGCUAAUACCGGAUAAUAUUUUGAACCGCAUGGUUCAAAAGUGAAAGACGGUCUUGCUGUCACUUAUAGAUGGAUCCGCGCUGCAUUAGCUAGUUGGUAAGGUAACGGCUUACCAAGGCAACGAUGCAUAGCCGACCUGAGAGGGUGAUCGGCCACACUGGAACUGAGACACGGUCCAGACUCCUACGGGAGGCAGCAGUAGGGAAUCUUCCGCAAUGGGCGAAAGCCUGACGGAGCAACGCCGCGUGAGUGAUGAAGGUCUUCGGAUCGUAAAACUCUGUUAUUAGGGAAGAACAUAUGUGUAAGUAACUGUGCACAUCUUGACGGUACCUAAUCAGAAAGCCACGGCUAACUACGUGCCAGCAGCCGCGGUAAUACGUAGGUGGCAAGCGUUAUCCGGAAUUAUUGGGCGUAAAGCGCGCGUAGGCGGUUUUUUAAGUCUGAUGUGAAAGCCCACGGCUCAACCGUGGAGGGUCAUUGGAAACUGGAAAACUUGAGUGCAGAAGAGGAAAGUGGAAUUCCAUGUGUAGCGGUGAAAUGCGCAGAGAUAUGGAGGAACACCAGUGGCGAAGGCGACUUUCUGGUCUGUAACUGACGCUGAUGUGCGAAAGCGUGGGGAUCAAACAGGAUUAGAUACCCUGGUAGUCCACGCCGUAAACGAUGAGUGCUAAGUGUUAGGGGGUUUCCGCCCCUUAGUGCUGCAGCUAACGCAUUAAGCACUCCGCCUGGGGAGUACGACCGCAAGGUUGAAACUCAAAGGAAUUGACGGGGACCCGCACAAGCGGUGGAGCAUGUGGUUUAAUUCGAAGCAACGCGAAGAACCUUACCAAAUCUUGACAUCCUUUGACAACUCUAGAGAUAGAGCCUUCCCCUUCGGGGGACAAAGUGACAGGUGGUGCAUGGUUGUCGUCAGCUCGUGUCGUGAGAUGUUGGGUUAAGUCCCGCAACGAGCGCAACCCUUAAGCUUAGUUGCCAUCAUUAAGUUGGGCACUCUAAGUUGACUGCCGGUGACAAACCGGAGGAAGGUGGGGAUGACGUCAAAUCAUCAUGCCCCUUGUGAUUUGGGCUACACACGUGCUACAAUGGACAAUACAAAGGGCAGCGAAACCGCGAGGUCAAGCAAAUCCCAUAAAGUUGUUCUCAGUUCGGAUUGUAGUCUGCAACUCGACUACAUGAAGCUGGAAUCGCUAGUAAUCGUAGAUCAGCAUGCUACGGUGAAUACGUUCCCGGGUCU
rnacentral:rRNA from 1 species